rnacentral:lncRNA from 1 species
UGUGCCCACGCCGGGGGCGUCGCUGCAGGUUUAGGAGAAGACCCGUGCCUCCGAGCAGCCGCUCCUAAAAAUUAAAUAAAUCAAUAAGAGAAUCAAUUAAUAGGCAGCGCUGCGACCGCCAGGAGCGCGGAGCGCGCGAGGCUCAGCGGCUUCCUCGCCAAGCCCCUGCUACCGGCGCGCGGCCGCCCGCGCUGCGGCAGCGGCGGCGGCGCGGCUGACUGCGGCGGCAGCGCGGCAGCGGUGACUGGGCAUCGCGCGGUGCGGGUGCCUCCGCCGCCGCCGCCCCCGGAGCGGGAGGACUUCUAUUUGGAACUGAGUCCGACAGCUCAGGACUGGCUGCUCAAACUCCACAAUUUAAUGAAAAAUCUCAGAUGAUGACUCAGAAAACCUCUAAUGAUCUGAGGAAUAUAUUAAGGGAUUCCAGAGUCAAAGGCUGAUCAUGGAGGGCAUUGAUGAGGGAAGACUUCAGGUGGCUGGAGACCAGAAGAAAGGAACACUGGAAGAAUGAAAACGGUUGUGAUGCACUGCAGUGUGAAAAUAUGCCCUUGAGCCUUAAAGAAAGGGGCUUAAGGCCGGGCGCGGUGGCUCACGCCUGUACUCCCAGCACACAGAUCACGAGGUCAAGAGAUUUGAGACCAUCCUGGCCAACACGGUGAAACCCCGUCUCUACUAAAAAUACAAAAAAUUAUGUGGGAGUGGUGGCGCACGCCUGUAGUCCCAGCUACUCGGGAGGCUGAGGCAGGAGAAUCGCUGGAACCCAGGAGGCGGAGGAGGUUACAGUGAGCCGAGAUCGCGCCACUGUACUCCAGCCUGGCGACAGAGCGAGACUCCGUCUCAAAAAAAAAAAAAAAAAGAAAAAGAAAAGAAAGGCUACUUUCAUCGCUACUGCACAUCCUCUAAGUAGGUUAAGGAAGAUUUACUUAGUAGAGCCUCAAGAUGGAUUUAAGUUAUGGAUAAGAAUUAUUUAUAACUAGGAUAUCAUUCAGUAUUAUAAGUGUCUGCAGUUACUUAAGGAUGCUAGAAACAGUCUAGAAGUUUCAGUCUUCUCUCUGAAGUAUACUUUCAAGUAGUAACUGAUUUAGCAAGCUCUUACACAAUUAGAUCAAACGUGCGCUUCAGUCUUCUGCCUUUCUGCACUGCCACACAUUCCUGUCUAGUGGAUUUUUUUUUUUAGGCGUGGAUUUUUAAGAAGUGAGAUUUUGUUGUAGUUAUUUAGCCAGUGUCUUAUUUUAGUGUUUUCUGGUUUUCCACUGUUUGUAGCUUGUUUUAAAUUGAAAUCUAAUUUCCUUUUAUAUCUGGACUGAGGACCCAUGGCUAUUUGUAAAAUGGAUUAAAUUUAGGUGUUUUAAUCAAGUGUAGGAAUGAUAAACUUGAAUCCAGGGCAGGCCCGAACUUUUUUUUUUUUCAUAUUCCCUUUGUUACUCCACAAACAACCAGAGCUGUCACGUGUAAAAAUGGUGAUCCUAUAAUAAUUCUUAUAUUUACCACACUCUUAGUUGCAUAAUCAGCUCGCUUACAUAAUCUAGAAAAAUAUAAUAGAAAGUUCACUUCAAGCAAAACAAUGGAAUUGACUGUAAAUGGGUAUGCAAAAACUUGAGUUAGAUAAAAUAUCUUUAUGACAAAGAAUGGUGAGAUUGACUCUAAUAAAAUAUGUUCUUUUAAAAAAUCAGUAUUUUAUAAAGUAAAAAAAAAAUGUUUCAUGUUAAGUCUUUGAAAAAGUCUUUGUGAUAUCUGCCUUUGUCCUUUCUCACACAUCCCCUACCCUGCUUGAGGCACAAAACCAGUUGAUGCCAUGGAGUGAGUGGUGUUCAUGAAAGUUCACUGGUGCAGAGCCCAGUCAGCUGUCCUUGCUAUACCUUGACAAAGCUCAGUAAAAAGGAACUAAGGAAACAGCAAAACUGACCUAACUUAUAAAGUAAAACAGCAAUAUGGCUUUUCCUUAAUUGCUACCAAUCUAUAGAAUUAAUUUCUCUUACUUUUUAAAUUGAGAUAUAAAAAUGUGGCCCCCAAAUCCUGCACAGGCUGAGUUUUGUAGUUUGUUUUAACUCCAGCAAACUGUCUCUUGUCAGUGGGAACCAUGCUCACAUCCUCUGGACUUGGCUAAACAGAAGCAAUGAGCAGGGUGCCAUUCCCUGAAGGUGCAUUGGGACAUAAGGCAUCUCUAAGGUAACCAGGACUGACUGCAAAGUUUUUGACAGACAAGAAUCACCAAGUUACACUGGAAAGCCACUGCUGGCAUUUAGAGGCAAAUGCCAGCUAGUUCUAUCAAUUAAAGUUAAAUCAAG